CCCGGAUUUACCACCCGUGGCUAUCCAAGGCCGCGCCUGCGCAGAAGACAGCAAUGGUUGGGGACAGGUUUAUUUAGCGGAGUUUUGGUCUUCAGGUUGCUGGAAGCUGAAUUUUCGAGCACUCCCGGGUGCUGCGUUUGGCCAAGUCUUGGCUUAGGGCACGGCCAAGGUGGGACGGGAAGGCUGGCGCUGCUUCGUAUUGAAUCCUUCCGCUCUAAAUCCCACUGUUGAUCUUAAUUAAAGCCUGUUCAUUUGAAAAUCCUGCUCUGACACUUCCAGUUCCUGCUCCUGCUGCAAAGAGGCGAUGUUAAGCCAAUUACAUGAAAUACAAGUUCACUUCAAUUUCAAGAUCAUCUGGAUUUCAGAACUACAGAUCUGACCCAUACAUAUCCUUGUGCCAAGGGACUGGUAAGAUAACAAGGCAGACGCCAAAGAACCUCUUCAAAUCAACAAGAAAUCACCAGCCGAUAAAGAAUGCUACAGGACAAUUCUCAUUUGUAUAUGAGUAGGGUCCAAUUCUGGAACACACAACAAACUGGGCCACACCCUCCAUUGCGCGCAGCCAGUUGAUUGGUAUAGCCUCCCAGGCCAGGCAGCGCUUUGUCCCUCACACUAGGAGACUCAGGCAGCAGCUGGGGACCAGGUCACUCUGCUUGCCGUUGAGUUUCUCGGGGAACCCUCUUGUAAUUGGUUCUUGGUGGUCGCGAGGUGAUGACGUUGACACCCCCAUGUCCUAAAAUGUGGCGCUGUGGUAGUCUUACAGAAGUGAGAGGCUCUGCGGUCCUGUGACAUCCCCUCCAAGCCGAGCAGCCAUCUCUACCACGCGGCCGCGCUGGAGCCUCCCGGCGGCCCAGAGAGAGAGCAAGUCGUGCGUUGGUGUGGACGGAGGAACCACGCGGUGUUGUCAUGGGCCACUUUUCUUGUACGGUUCCCAGGCCCCAAAAUCCAGCCAGUGAGAUUACUUUCCAGUGCAUCAAUUAUGGGUCAGCUCAAAAGUUGAAUUUUAACAGACCACAAAAGUCUUCACCUGCUUUAAAUCUGGGCACAUUGUUACUUAACUGCUCCCCUCCCCCAUAUACACUCUAUCUUUAGCCAUUUCUCACAAGUGCAUUUGGUAAUGACCGGGGGAGGGGGGAAUGAAUGCGCUUUUGUAAAGCUAUUUCCAUACCUACGUUGGAAUAUUCUUGUAGAUUCCAAAACCCAAACGCUUCAUCUCUCUUUAAAUACAUUAGAGGAGUCUCUUUUUUCUUUUUUUUUUUUCUUUAAUUACGUCGGGAGGGGAUCAUAUGUUGGCAAGAUCAGAGGACAACUUGUAGGAGUCAGUUCUCUCCUUUCCACUAAGUUGACCCUGGUAACGACACAUUAAAAUUCUAGAAGCU